CUUGGUGGUUGCGGGUUGCUGGUACCUACCCGAGCUUCGUCCGUCACCCGCGACGGCUCGGCUCCGAGCCCUGGAUGUCCUGAGAAGCCCGGAGUCAGGCUCACUCACUCCGCGGCGAAUGGACCUUAUUCACAGCACCGCUCUCCUCUCCGUCCUCUCUCCAUCCUCGGCACCGGCCCCCUGGAUGACCACCAACACAGACCCAGCAUUUCUCCGUGAUGUGUGUCCAAGAGAAUGGCUACACAAGACCUUGUAGGCAGAUGUACACAGCAGCAUAUUCACAAGGAAAAGGGGUUGGGGAGAGAACCAAGGCAGUGCCCAUUGAUUCAUGAAUAGAUUAGCAAAUUAUGGUUUCUCUGUGCAAUGUUCCUAAAAUAGGAUUCGAACUCAAGCGUUAAGCCAGACUCCAGCCCUUCUUUACACUGGUUAUUUUAAAUAAAGGGUCUUGCUUCUUUCCCCA